UACGGAGGGUGCUAGCGUUGUUCGGAAUCACUGGGCGUAAAGCGCGUGUAGGCGGCCUCCCAAGUCUGAUGUGAAAGCCCGGGGCUCACCCCCGGAAGUGCAUUGGAAACUGUGAGGCUCGAGUCCCGGAGAGGAGAGUGGAAUUCCUGGUGUAGCGGUGAAAUGCGUAGAUAUCAGGAGGAACACCGGUGGCGAAGGCGGCUCUCUGGACGGUGACUGACGCUGAGGAGCGAAAGCGUGGGGAGCGAACAGG
rnacentral:rRNA from 1 species